rnacentral:tRNA from 1 species
UGGGGUGUAGCUUAGUGGUACUAUGCUUGCCUAGGAAGCAUGCAGGAAGCCUGGGUUCCAUCCCAGCACCUCAU